CCGGAUGGCGGUGCAGACCUCGAGAAUGAGCUUAUGGCAGGUGGAGAUACCAAGUCCGAAGCGCCGGGAGACAAGCCGGAGAGGCUCCCCGGUGGCGAGGCGCCACACGCACACGGCAACGCGCUGCCGGACGGGAAUGGCAGAGCGGAGCGCCGUGUCCUCCUUGGCCACGGCGGAGCCGAGCUCUUCGCAGAGGAAGUCGAAAGUGGCGCGGGACAUCCGAAAGGCGCGCCGGAAUUCGUCCUCCGGGAGGUCCGGAUGGUUGUACCGGUCCCACCAGUCGCGGGACCGGUCCUUGACCCAGAGCCGGCGUUGCCCGGGCUGCAACGGCGGCGGCGCAGCCUGUGGCUCCUCCCCUGAGGCGUCAUCGUCGGCGUGCGGGGGGGAAGAGGAGGCGAAGGGCUUCAAGGCAACGAGCCGGCUGGGGGAUAAGUCAUCCGCUCGCGGGCGCUUCUUGACUUUGGAUUCCAUGGCCAGGGGGAGAGCGGAAUGGGGUUGAGGAUCGGGGAGGACGGCGGUGGCGGGGUCGUGGAAAAAGGAGUAGUAAUAGGAGAAGAGGUCGUCGUCGAACGAGGCGGCGGGGACAAGCGAAGGAGUCUGAUAAGUGGUCAUGAAUGAUCCCAGUGGCGGCGGGGGUUUCCUUCGUUCGUCUGCAACUCGAGCUCAAGAAUUUUG
rnacentral:lncRNA from 1 species